CACACUUGUAAUCCCAGUGACUCCAAAGCAGGAGGAUCUUAAGUUUUGAGGGCAGCCUGGGCAAUUUAGUAAAACCCUGUCUUUUAAAAAAAGUGGGGAUGCUGAGGAUGUAGCUCAGUGGUAGAACAGCCCUGGGCUCAAUCCCCAAUUAAAAAAAAAAAGACAUGGGAAUGCCCUGCUUAUGCUAGGCUGAGCCUUCACUGAAUCCACUUAGCACAGGAUGGGGGGCAGUUGCAGUAGAUGGGAGCAGUCAAUGUCUGUUUCAAGAAAGGCUUAAGUCUGCCAGUUGUCUGGGAAUGUAUAAGGGUAUCCUGUCCUGUGAAGUCUCAGAAAACAUGGUUGAUUCUUGGCUAGCUGUGAGGGAAAACUGGCAUGGUAUUUGAAGUUGAAUUUGGGUUUGCAAUCUCAAGUCACUCUCUGGCCUCAUAGGAACAUGGUGGAGUGAGUUAGGAGGAUUUGGAUUUCCUUUUGGAAAUCAGGUGGUUUUUGUGUUUUUCUUUUUUCCUAAAAGACUGGUCUAACAAAGUUGCCAAAGGACACCCCCCCCACACCACUAUACAAAGGUUGCAUUGUUUAUGUAUCCAGUGUACUCUAAGUAAGACACCAAAUCAGAUGCAACAACCCAGCCUUGCAGAAGCCCUGUUUAGAAUGUAUUUUUUGAAACAACUAGGCCAGUAGCCAGAGUGGAAUUCUUUAAAAUGGGACAGAUGUCCAGAGAAUGGUUGGUCUCCUGUAGCAUCCUCCCACAAAGAAGUAAGACUGGGAUUACAGCUUCCAGUGGCCUAUUUUAAAGAAACACUACUCUAGAAGAUGACUUUAUAAAUAUUUUUAAAAUAUAAAAUCCAAAAAGUUAAAGAAAAAACAAUGCAUAAUGGUGGCUUAGUGGCUGUGCCUUGUGAAAUUUUUUGCCCAGCAUUUAUCUAAUGGCCAACUGAUCUAUCAGAGUGGUUUUUAUGAUCUCUUUCACAUUCACAAUAGGUCUCAGGAAGUUAGCAG
rnacentral:lncRNA from 1 species